CACAAUGGUGCCGUAACUUCGGGAGAAGGCACGCUGAUAUGUAGGUGACGCGACUUGCUCGUGGAGCUGAAAUCAGUCGAAGAUACCAGCUGGCUGCAACUGUUUAUUAAAAACACAGCACUGGCAAACACGAAAGUGGACGUAUACGGUGCGACGCCUGCCCGGUGCCGG
rnacentral:rRNA from 1 species